rnacentral:ncRNA from 2 species
AAGGCUAUGUGUAACUGGCGAAAACGGAUAACCGUAAGGGAGCACAUAGUAUCGAAUAGCCGUUCGCCUGGGCAGAGGUA